ensembl:lncRNA
UUUGUUUACAGCCUACGCGCAACGUGAUUCCCGGCCGAACAUUAGCGAUUGGUUAACUUAUGGCAGAUCCAGAGUGACACUGGGCAGAUCCAAUAGUUUUAAACUUCAACAGACCCCCGCCUUCAAUUGACCAGGAGAUCAUCGGGUGGUAGACCAACGUACUUCACCGGACACAUCUCAUUUCUGGACCCUUGACCCAUACGAUCAGAUCACUAUUGCACCCAAAAAUUACGUCCUGCUCUGAAGAGGCCUACAAGAAGACAUGGAGCCUUGCCAGUGGUUGUGCAGAUGGAGAUGCCAUGAUAUGAGUGGGGGAUAUCUUCAAUAUUCCCCUGAGAGAGCAGUGAUGUUCGUGAAGGCCACUGCUGUGUUGCACAACAUAUGCAGGAUUGCUAAUCUCCCGGACCCUGAGGACGUCCCGGCCAUGGUUGAAGAUGAGGAGAAAGGCCAUGAUGGCAUACAUGAUGGUGCAUAGACUGGUAGAACUACCAGAAACAACCUAAUUGCACAUUAUAUUAGAUAAGAUAAUUAAAAAGAAAACAUACCCAUUUGAUGUAAAAUAUUUAAUUCAACAACAUAAAAAAUAAAUUAACAGUUUAACUCAAUCAAAU